rnacentral:rRNA from 1 species
GACGAACGCUGGCGGCGUGCCUAACACAUGCAAGUCGAGCGGGAAUUUACAAAUUGAUGACUAAAGGAGCAAUUCGCUUUGGGAGGGACCUGCGUCCCAUCAGCUAGUUGGUGAGGUAACGGCUCACCAAGGCGACGACGGGUAGGGGACCUGAGAGGGUGGCCCCCCANAAUGGAACUGAAACACGGUCCAUACACCUACGGGUGGCAGCAGUAGGGAAUAUUGCUCAAUGGGCGAAAGCCUGAAGCAGCAACGCCGCGUGUGCGAUGAAGGCCUUCGGGUCGUAAAGCACUUUUCUGAGAGAUGAGAAAGGACAGUAUCUCAGGAAUAAGUCUCGGCUAACUACGUG